GGGACGCCACUCCCUGCGGCCAGUGCUGUCACAGCUACCCGGCCCUGUCAGGUCUCGCUGGACCUUGUCCAACCCUCUCUUCACCUGCGGGCCUGGCCCUGACCCGCCAGGGACGGCCACGUUGGGGUUCAUGGAGAGCCAGGCACGCCCCCAGGCGCGACUCCCUAUCUCCACACCGGUGUCAGCGCCCCAGGGAAGCGGCGGGGGCCAGCUUCCAUGCGGCAGGGGGCCCCACAGCAGGGUGGGAGCAGACCCGAGUCAUAGAUUCGUGCUUCUCAAAGGAGAGGCCAGGGGCGUUGACAUCACCUGGAAGCCGGUGAGACCUGCAGGGUCUAGGCCCACCCCGAACCUCUGAAUCAGUCUGCAUUUUCAGGGGACUCUCCAGGCACCUUGUGAAAGCUUAUUUUUCCGAUUCGGGAGGCACCCGCCCGUCAUCACUCAUUGCUGCAAAAAGCAUUUCUAAGACGUCUUCCGUGUUCAGGUACCAUGAUGGGAACAGAUUUCCACACUGCCUGGCGUCCCACUCGGUUGAACAGCUUUCAGAAAAACCCAGUCAAUUCUACGGACCAAAUGCCAUCCUGAUCCUGAUAACCCCAGAGCCCUUGCAUUUGGGCCGCCGUGUUGUGCCAAUGGACCGACAUGUGAUGUGGCAAGGAACCCACGUCUCUGGCCACAGCCACCCGCAGACAGGCGAGGGAGCUUGGGGGCCGUGUUGGUUUCUCGCAGUUAUGGUAACAAAUUGCCACAAACUCGGUGGCUUAAAACAACAGACACUUACUCUCCUAGUUUUGAAGUCAGAAGCCCAAGGUCAGUUUCCCAGGGGCUGAAGUCACAGUGUUGACAGAGCUGUGCUCCCCUGACUCUGGACAGAGCGCUUCUCUUCACCUUAUCCAGCUUCGAGAGCUGCGUUCCUUGCCUGUCUUGGCUCGGGGCUCCUUCCUCCUUCUCCAAAGCCAGCAUCUUCCCAUCGGCUCCUUCUUGGCGCUGACUUCCCUGUAGCUCCUCUUGCUCCUUCCUCCCUCUCAUGAGGACACCUGGGAUGGCAUCUGGCGCCCACCUGGAUAAUUCGGGGUCCUCUCCCCAUCUCAAGGUGUGUAGCUUCCUCAGACCUGUAGAGACCCUUUCUCCACUUCAAGUAGCUGCCCCCCCCUCCCCGCGCCUUCUGGGGCAGCUGGGUGGCUCAGUGGGUUGAGCCUCUGACUCUUGAUUUCAGCUCAGGUCAUGAUCUCAGAGUCAUAAGUUCGAGCCCCGUGUCCGGCUCUGCACUCAGCAUGGUGUCUGCUUGAGAUUCUCUCUCUCUCCCUCUGCCCCUCCACCUGCUCAAGGUGUAUAAAGAAACAAAGUAUUUUUAAAAAAAUGAACACAGUAGCUGCUACCUGAGGAAGAAGGGCAAAGCUCGGAGAAGGCAAGGGCCUUCAUUUGGGGCCUCCGAAUUGCGACUCUGGGAGUGCAUAUUCCAGAGUAACCAGAAAAGUGUCUGGCUUGGGUAGGGAAAGCAAGGGGGCUUUAUGAGAAAGAAGAAGGAGGCAGUCACAUGAUUCAGGAAAGGAAGAAAAAAACCCAUGAAUUCAGUGCUGACUGGCUGAGCCUCUUUCGAUCACCAGCUGAAGGAUUCUUUUCUCCCUGUCUUCAAACAAAGGUAUCCCUGGCUGCACUCAUUAACUCUUCGUCUUCCUAGAGUUCAUAUCAUCAGUCUGUGGCCGAAUGCCAGUCGUUUUGUUGGAUCUUAUGAUCAGCCCCUUGUAAAACGAUUCUGGAUUCCGACCUAGUUCAAGAGUUCAUUAGCCAGAAGGUAAAAUGGAGCCUCAGCACAGAAUCGCUCCUGCGCAGAGACUGUACGCGGUUCUGCUCAGUCACAGGUGCCAGGGAUUAGGGCCCGGCUACCUGGGGGGCCGUUCCUCAGCCCAUCACGAGGUCGGUCCUCCUGCCGCCGAGCCUCCGGCUAAGAGAGCAGGCGCCUGGCCUGCCCCUGGACUGGCUCCCUGAGACACCACCGGGAGUCAGUGGCACCCGCUGAAGAACACAUGAGUCCCUGAUCCCAAGACACCAAGACAGGAAAUUUGGGGGGCUAGAGCUUGGGAUACUUUGUUACAUAGUGAUAGAUUACCAUCUGACUGUGUCGCUGUGCAUGCCGAAAGGGGCAUCCUAGGGUCUCACAGGGUAGAAACAAGACGGGAAGUCCUGGAGAAGGGAAGGUGUCACAGGGUAAGGGAAGCUGGGAGAGACUAGCCGGACUCCCACGGUGGCCAGACCGUCUGUAAACGCGGUGCUCCUGCAGCCCCUGCCCAGAACCUGACCAGCCCAGGGAGCCGCCUGCUGUAAGUCGGAUGUAGGAAAUCUGCAGGCUCUCUGCCAACAGUCCAGAAAGCUGAACAAUAAUCUUCAUAACCAUUAGCCCCCAAUGACCAGGGUUUGCUUAAUAACUGAUAGAUUCCCUAAUUUUUUGGUCCCUGUUCCUGCUUUCAGACCAACCAGAGAAAGCCGAGAGUACACCUCGACACAGUCACAUGGGAUGUCUGCUUCUAGUUAGCCGGGCCCAGCCUCCCCGAGCCACAGCCCCCUCCAGGCUCGCGGGGAGCCUCUGUGUUUCCCCCCAUGAAGCCUGGCUGCUCCCCUCCCUGCCUGGGAGGCUCUGCCAGGACCUCGGUGAUGGCGGCUGACCUCCCUGCAGUAGUCUGACUGAAUAGCUUUGCUUCCCAUUUGGCUGGUCUUCCUUCUGCACUCGUGAGGAGCAAAACCCCAGCCCCACGGGAGCCGCAGGGGAGGAAACCGUUGUGUGCAUAUGUGUGCCUGCGUGUGCAAGAGUCAGCGACCCAGGUGGAAGAAACAAGAGCAGGGAACACAUCUUUUUCUCCCAUGUCUGGUUCCAGGAAUGCUCCUGGUGGGUGUGGGGACCAGUGUGGUGACACCCAAAACCGGCUCCCCUUCCUCUGUCUGCCUCGCUGGACUACGUUUCCCAGUCUGCCUUGCAGUUGGGUGCAGGCCAGCCCAAGACCUGCUCUUGAACGCGGGAGGGAGCGAUCUCCUGGGCUCCCGGGAACCUCCCUGCCGAUCCCCUACCCCCUCUCUCCUCACCUGUCGGUGGGUGCAGAGGGUCUGGCGGGGGCUUGAAGGCCCCGGGGAUGGUGGGGCCCCAGGGACCACAUGGCUCAGCACCCUGCUGGUGGGCCACAGGUGUCGGUGAUGUGAGGGGAGCACCCUCGGGUGCUUAUUCUCAUGGGAACGGGCCCGUUCUGCACCCAACUGGGAAGCCGGGUGCUGUGCUCCCCAUUGUGGGCCCCCCAGAACUGUGUUCCUGUGCUAAGCCCAGGAGCCUGGGAACCUGAGCUCAUCUGCAAGUAGCAUCUCUAUCGAUGUCAUUAAAUUAUGGAUCCCAAGAUGAGGUCAUCCUGAUUCAGCCUGAUGACUGGGGUCUCUAGAUGAGAAAGGAGAUGGACCUGGGCCUGAGAGACACAGAGAAGGCCGUUGAAGACCCGCAAGGACAGGGCAGGGACUGGGAGACGCAGCUGCCAGGCUCAGACUGCCCAGGACAGCUGCAGCUGGGGGGCAGGCUGGACACCUUCUCCCUCCUCUCCAGAAGGCUCCAACCCUGCCUGUGCCUUGACAUCAGACAUCCAGCCUCCAGAGUGUGCGAGAACAGACUUCACCCGUGGAAGCCAUACAGCUCGCGGUACUUUGCCGCGGCAGCUCCAGGACCCGGUGACACCAAGCCUGGGCGCAUUCCCUGCGUGCUCACACCUGGGCUUGGGGUCAGUCCCAAGGUGGCAAAUGAGUGGCUUCGGCCAAGGCUCUGUGUGCGUGCACGUGUGCAGGCGUGUGCACAUAUGUGUGAAAUGGGGAAGCUUUGAACAUGCAAUUAAUGGAACAAAUAUUAAUGAUCAGACUUGCUUUUUCUCAGACUUUACUUUCACAACGGCGUUUACAAUUUAAAGGUAAGAAGGCCACAAACAAGGGAACAGGAGCCGUGGGUCUUCUCAGAGCUGCUACGUGACCCAACUCAUAAAAUGAGGGGGGAAAUCCAAAUUACGAAAGAAAAAAGAAAAGUAAAGGUUGCCAGAACAAAGAUCAAUAUUUUCUCUUUCCUAUGCUCUUUCCGUAACGGUUAGCUUCAAUAUCGCAAAGGUUCUUUAAAACCAGAGACGCUCCACUUUUGCCACUUCAAGAUGGUGUCCGAGGACGAAUCCCACAAGAUAACAAAA